UCUGCCCCUGGGUGAGAUUGGGAGUGGGGCUUGAUCCUCCCCUGUCAGUGGGAAGUACAAGAUCGCGUCGGAAGGAGCGGGCGAUGGCGGCAGUGCUGGUGCCAGAAGGAUCCGGACGUGAAGGCAACGGGGGCGCACGGCGACGAGGAGGCUUCUCCGAAGCCUUCCUCCUUCUGCUGCUGCUGUCCUGCCCGUCGACGCUGGCGGACGGUUCGGGUUCCACACCCUGCCCUUCUGCUAACGUCUCCAUAGCAGAAGGUUCAUCUGGGAUUAUCUUUGCCAAUGUUUUCCAGAAAUACAAAUAUUCUUUUGUUUCAUAACAGCAGCUUGUCUGAUCCUAAUGGUGACAUAUUAGCCAUAACUAAAGGGAAAAUGGAUAUCUUAAAUAGCACAUACAAUGGACACUUCUCUGUACAGGAAAAUGCCCUCAUUAUCAAGAACACCAGCAAACAGCUUGCUGGAGAAUACCAAUUUGCUAAUUAUAUGAAAAGGAUUUGUGUGCAUCGAGUCUUCCUUAGCGUACCUGACCCUAGGCACAGCCCUUCAGCUAAUCUUUCCAUACCAGAAGGUUCCUGUGGGACGAUCAUUCCAAAUAUAUAUUUAUGUCUCAUCAUGUUUAGUGCGCAUAUAAUUAUGUACUUUUUGAACUUUCAAUAAAGAAAAAA